AACGCAUAUUGCACUUUCUGGUAUUCCGGAAAGUAUGCCUGUUUGAGGGUCAGUUAAAUAAAAAUCGGUGUUGUUGCUGCUUUUCGUGGUGACGCGUCGGAAUUGAGUCGUCUUACCUUCGGUUAAGUGACUUAAAAUUUUUGUAUGAUUUUCGAACGUAUUUAAAUUGCUUACGUACGUUUGGGAUAUCGAAUGUUUAUUAGGUUCGGUCAUCUUCAUGAUUCGCACCUAUAAUUUUUCAUUAAAUGACCUCAAAUCAGGUAAGAAUACCCGCUGAACUUAA
rnacentral:misc_RNA from 1 species